CAGGGGGGCAGGUGUACCUUAAUGCAUGGAGUCAACCUCAGGUGUGACCUCUAGCCCACAGCAGCAGCAGCGGAGAACUCACGUUCUUCUCAGAGAAAGGAAAGAAGGGCAGAGCUGAAUCAAGCCUGCCCAGUUGUGCUCCCGAGAAGCACCUGUGCCCAGGCAGUGAGUGAAACUCCUAGAAGGAAGCAUCAGGGGAGGGGGGCAGCAUUCUCUGUCUUAGGAGAACAGACUCGUAAAGUGCGAGAGGUAGUUGCCUUGCUGUCUUGCUCAGAUGUCUUCAAGUCCUCACCUUUGCAUCCCCAACUUUAUUCUGCAGAAGAAAGCAGCCAAUGGAGGCGCUCUCUGCUGUGGACCUGGUUCUCUUCCAUCACAGCACUGACCUUGAACGGCCGGCCACCUGUGACCCCCCAUCUCCUGCUCUGAAUCCCGCCUUCACCCCACGGGAGCCGGCAGAGCGUCUGCACCUGCCAGCUACUCAGCGCACCUUUGGAACUCAGCUGGAAUUUGGGGUCACUCUUCGGGAUCAUGGAUCAACCACGGAGCUGGUUAUUGCUGCGAUGAGAACAGCGGCUGCUGCUGCUGUGUCCCCAGAGUGAGUUUCAUGUAACUCUGCAACAUUGAUGCACUGAGGAAGACAAGGAAAAGUCCUGAGGAGGCUCAGAGCUGGCGCAAGCUCCGUGUGUGUGUGUGUGAGCGUGGGUGAGGAGGAGGCACAUCUCGAACCAUGUCCUAGAGGUCAGCCUACCUGCAAGUGACAGUGAGGACCACGUGAGGCACGCUUUGCACUGAAAAAGGUACCCCCCACCCCCCUUCCCCAUUUUGUCUGGUGCUUCCUCCGAAGGAUUAGUGGUGACCAAAAGGGCAGUGGGGGGCUCUUGAGGAGCCUUUCCAUCUGGCAGUGCUGGAAAUGGAGUGUAUGAAAUGGUUUCUGCCGAGAGUUCCUCGGGGAUGUGGGCACCCCAACCACACCCUCAGGGCAUCGCCAGCCCCGGGGUGCUU
rnacentral:lncRNA from 1 species